rnacentral:rRNA from 1 species
UACAGAGGUCUCAAGCGUUGUUCGGAUUCAUUGGGCGUAAAGGGUGCGUAGGCGGCGCGGUAAGUCGGGUGUGAAAUCUUGGAGCUUAACUCCGAAACUGCAUUCGAUACUGCCGUGCUUGAGGACUGGAGAGGAGACUGGAAUUCCUGGUGUAGCGGUGAAAUGCGCAGAUAUCAGGAGGAACACCGGUGGCGAAGGCGGGUCUCUGGGCCGAUACUGACGCUGAGGAGCGAAAGCGUGGGGAGCAAACAGG